GAUGAACGCUAGCGGCAGGCCUAAUACAUGCAAGUCGAACGGUGUCUUCGGACAUAGUGGCGCACGGGUGCGUAACACGUAUGCAACCUACCUUACAUUGGGGGAUAGCCUUUCGAAAGGGAGAUUAAUACCGCAUAAGACAGUAGCUGGGCAUCCAGCAGCUGUUAAAGAUUUAUCGAUGUAAGCUGGGCAUGCGUCCAAUUAGCUAGUUGGUGAGGUAACGACUCACCAAGGGAAUGAUUGGUAGGGGAACUGAGAGGUCAAUCCCCCACACUUGCACUUAGAUACGGCCCAGACUCCUAUGGGAGGCAGCAGUAGGGAAUAUUGGGCAAUGGACGCAAGUCUGACCCAGCCAUGCCGCGUGCAGGAUGAAGGCGUUAUGCGUUGUAAACUGCUUUUAUAUAGGAAGAAACGACCCUUGCGAGGGGCAUUGACGGUAUUAUAUGAAUAAGCACCGGCUAACUCCGUGCCAGCAGCCGCAGUAACAC
rnacentral:rRNA from 1 species